rnacentral:rRNA from 1 species
GUGCCAGCCGCCGCGGUAAUACGGAGGGUGCAAGCGUUAUCCGGAUUUAUUGGGUUUAAAGGGUCCGUAGGCGGAUCAUUAAGUCAGUGGUGAAAGCCGGCAGCUCAACUGUCGAACUGCCAUUGAUACUGAUGAUCUUGAAUGCUGUUGAAGUUGGCGGAAUAGGUCAUGUAGCGGUGAAAUGCUUAGAUAUGACCUAGAACACCGAUUGCGAAGGCAGCCAACUAAGCAGUUAUUGACGCUGAGGGACGAAAGCGUGGGGAGCGAACAGGAUUAGAUACCCUGGUAGUCCACGCCGUAAACGAUGAUUACUCGGUAUUGGCUUCGGUCAGUGCCCAAGCGAAAGUGAUAAGUAAUCCACCUGGGGAGUACGCCCGCAAGGGUGAAACUCAAAUAAAUUGACGG